CUGACCCGCUGCCCGCCGCUAUUUAUAACUCCGCAGCGACACCGCGCUGACGUCACAGGUCCUGUUGCGCAAUGUCGAGGACCCCACCCCCCCACACAAAACCUUCGCUUCACUCAGCGAGAGAGAGAAAUAUUAACGUGGAUUUACUGCCGGCAAGUACGUGUCCGACUCCAUUGCAAACGUAUUUCUUUUAAAUAAGGGGGAUUCUCAUCGGGCCAGAGGCACCGACAUUAAGAUCAGGCGACUGCCGCAGACGACUCACAUGAGGCCAGAUGAGACUCCUGGAGCCGUGUCUUUUCGCGUCGGGAAGCUGACUCACCGACGGACCGCUGGAAUCCCGAGGCUUCGCGUUAACGCCGCUGUCCCAUCACGUGACGGUCACCUGUCGAUGUGCGCACCGGGUAUUGUAGUUCACGCAUGCACCCCGGGACUCCAAAUCCCGUGAUGCACCUCACCAGUGUUCUGAUCCUUCCCCCGCAAUUUAAAGGGAAAUAUGUAUGAUACAAAUUGUUUCUUUCUCCACAGACAUUGAUAUGCCUGCUGAUCAUUUUCAGCACUGUGUUUUAUUUGUGUCUAUAUCAGAGAGACGUUCCCUCUCAGAUACUACUUGCGUUUGCAGACUUUAUUUUUAAACCAAACAUAGCUUCUCAACAUUAAUCCUCAAUAGGGUAGGGAAUAAAAAAAUUGACAAUGCCUAGACAAUACUAGGUUGGGUAAAGUUUUGAUUGAGAACUGACUUUUACAAUAUAACAGUGAUUAAUUUUGAUAGGAAGAAAGUCAAGAGUCAAUAUAAAGUAAAUGGCAAAAUUUUAAAGAUAUUGCAAUAGCAUAAAUUAUUGGUGUACAGUCACCUCAGCUUUAAUAAUAGACAUAAAAAGGAAAGAGGUUAUUAUUAAUCCCAUGUUAAACACUGACAUGGUCUCAACUGGAGUGUUACAUCAGUUCUGGGGGUUGCCCAUUGGGCUUGUUUUUCUUGGAGAACAGGAAGUCGAGAGGAGUCUUAAUGCAGGUGUUUAAAAUCAUGAGGGAUCUGGACAGAGUAGAGAGAGAGAGAGAGAGAGAGAGAAACUGUUUCCAUGAGUGGAAGGAUUGUGAUUUGAGGUAGGGGUGGUAUUUAAGGUAAUCGAUGAAAGAAGCAAUGGCGACUCAAGGAAAACGAUGCGCUCAUUAAAAUGUGGCACAGUUAGAUUCAACCAAAACUUUCAAAAGGUAAUUACAUAGUUAUACAAGGAUCAAAUGUGCAGGACUACAAGAAGAAGGAAGGGGAAUGCCACUGGGAAACUGCUCCUUCAGAUAUCCAGCACUGAAACGCACUCAUUUCCAUGAUUUAGAAAUAGAAAAUUCUGGAAAACCCCAGUAGGUCUCUGAGCAUCCAUGAAGAAAGAAGACUUCUAUAGGUCUCUUUCAUGACUUCAGGAUGUCCAAAGCACAUUACAGCCAAUGAUUUUUGAACUGAAAUCACAAUGUAGGAAACGCAGCAACUAAGAUGCCCACAGCAAGCUCCUGCAGAAAGGCAAUAAUCUAAACGACCGAUCGUGUGAAUUUCUGAUGUUAAUUGAGGGAUAAAUAGUGGCUGAGAAAUUAGGGAGAAUCCCCUGUUCUUUUCUGAAGUUCUGCCAUACGAUUUUUUUAUAUCCACCUGAGGGCCUCUGUUUAAUAUCUCACCCGAAAGCACUGCCUUGAUACUGCUACUACACAGGGGUGUCCGCCAAUGUAGUUUCUGAAGUGGGACCUGAUUCAACGAUAGUAUCACUCAGAUAUACAAGUGCUUCAAACAACCCCUGACACCAAAGCAUCUAUUUGUUAUCUGAAUCGACCAAAUAAAAAUUAAUUUAUUCUGAUAAUCAGGAAAGAUAGGGAGCACUGAUGUUGAACAGGUUGAAAUAACCGAUCACAGGAAAGGUUGUACAGAGUUCAGAACAGCACUGUCUCAUUUAGUUGUCUCAUUCUGCCAUGCUGACAUUAAUUAGUACUUUGAAUGGGAUAACUUGAUUAUAUAUUCUGGACCCCAUCUUUAUAGGGAAUAGUUUAAAAAUAGUUCAGAGGAUAAAAUAUUUUAUUCCAAAUGAAAGCAGCAAUGAAAAUAAACACCUUGUUAUUAAUAUAGGCUUUGAUUCUCCAACACUGAGGCUCCUGUGGUCCAGUUGACACCACUCCAAUCUCUCAGCUAGACACCUCCAGGUUCAAUUCCCAAUCCACGAUGUGAAGGUGACCACAAAAGUUCAAGACGCAUCAGGUCAUUAAAUCAGCCUGUGAAUCUUUCAAUGCUCCACACUAUCCUUCAAGGGGGAAAAAAUGUGAAGAUAUUAAAAAAACUACUCCCUCUCCAACUUAAUGUAACAUGUGAUUUAAAUAUAUGGACAGCCCAAA